CUUCAAAGGAUAUGGAGUUAGUCUUCCUGAGGGAUCUUCGGCUAUACAAAGACAAUCACUUCAAUGCUUUGGAAACGAAACUAAUGUUUCGGAAUGCACAUCGGAACCAUUCGAAUGUAUACAUCACGACUACAGUACACAUGGGGGAUGUGCGUACAAUAAACAUGGCGUUCUGGGCCUCUACUGUAAUGAUUAUCAUAUUGAGGAUGUACGACUGAAAAUAUAAUGGGCAACGUUUCAUCAAAUAGUAUUUGAGGUGUUUGUCGACGGUGAAUGGGGGAUAACUUCUGCAAGACUUGGAACGAUUGAAGCUCAAAUCAUUUGCAAACACUUCGGAUAUUUAAAUGGUGAAAACACGUUUGAAGGAUCAUUCAAAAAUUACAAAUUCAAAGUAAUUGGAGAUCUGAAAUGCACAGGAAAUGAAUCCUCUCCGUUUGAAUGUGCGUUUAGGCACCGUGGUUACCUGGAUGUGCCUGUAUAUACCUUUACUAUGGUUAAUUGUUCCAGAGAAUGCCACAAAGACAGAAAUGGACUUGGAUGUGACCAAUUCUGCACGUGCAUAUGGGCGAAUACAGAACACUGUGAUGUUAAGUGGGGUGGUAAAUGUACAUGUCUCUCAGGAUGGACAGGGAGACACUGCGAAACAGAUAUCAACGAAUGUCUUACUCAAAACAUCUGUCCUGAUGCUAACACGGAGUGCAGAAACAUCGACGGAGGGUUUACGUGUGACUGCUUAGAAGGAUAUUCUCGAGGCACCAAUCAUACAUGUUUUGCUUGAAGGCCAAGUUCGUCGGCUUCGGAAUAACCAACGGCUCAACGUAUGAAAGAUUUGUACGAGUACAAAGUUAAUCUAGAUUGACAAAUCGCUUAAAACGUUACUCAUCUUAUUAUCCAAUAUUUGACACAGGAAAUUACUAGUUGUUGCAGAAGACGUCAACAUCCGGAAGAAAACUCUACACGGUAACACUGUGGAGACUGGCGGAUAUCUUAAGCCAAAGCUGGAAAUCGUUCUGUAUAAAAACAUUAUGACGAGUGGCGACUUUACUUAUGAUUGAUAUACCCAGCAAAAUUCAAAUUUAGUUUACGACUUGAUUUUGUGAAUAGUUGUAUUACUUCAUGCCGUUUAAGUUAUUUUUUAUUUGAUAUAUAUCUUUAAAGGGUAUUUUCUAUAUUAUUCUAAUAUUUGCUUUUGGAUUUGACCAACAGGAAAAAAAAACCAUGUUGCUCAUGUUAGUUCGAAAUUGACAGUGUGUUAUUUUUUAAUUCUGUGCCGUAAAACCCAUGCUUAUUUGCGUUUUGUGUUUUAAAUUUGGCAUAGAAAUUAAAUGCUUUAUGUAGUUACAUUGUUUGAUACAUCGUGUUUGAAUAUUAUUCGUCGUAAGGUAUGUUUAUGUUUUGGCGAAACCUUUUAGCACAUUAUGUUUUGUAUAUACUUAAUAAUGUCCUCAAACGCAUCCGCUUAUGUUGUCGUCAUUUAAUAAUUCAUGUAAUUCAUAUAAUUCAUUUCCAGUUCGUGGUAAAAGUAUAUACUUUUUAUACGUGCAAACACAUUUUACUGUAGUUUCCAGUUUUGCACUUCAUCUGGUCUUCAUUCAGACAUAUACCUUUGGUUUAAAAGAGUCGUUUAUUUAAGCUCAUUUAUGUACUUGGUCACCCUCAUAAUUUGCUAAAGCUAUUUCUGUGUUUGGGUGGUUUGUGCUAUGUGGUUGAUAAUUAAUCAAGUGUGAGGAUGGGUGCUUCCCGGGUUUAAACCAAAGUUGACUCUUGAUAAAUGACCGUGCCAAGGUGGGACCCUUUUGUCAAAACAAUAUUUAUUUGUGAAGUAUAUCCUUUCAUUGUUAUCUACUGUUUGGUAACGUCAUAUAAUCCUUGUAAACCUGUGCCUAGACUUUAUAACGUAUAUCAUAUCAUGGUUAUUUA